rnacentral:rRNA from 1 species
UACGAGAGGCCCAAACGUUAUUCGGAUUUACUGGGCUUAAAGAGUUCGUAGGCGGUUCGGUAAGUGAGGUGUGAAAUCCCUUGGCUCAACCAAGGAAUUGCGCUUCAAACUGCCGGGCUUGAGGGAGAUAGAGGUGAGCGGAACUGAUGGUGGAGCGGUGAAAUGCGUUGAUAUCAUCAGGAACACCAGAGGCGAAGGCGGCUCACUGGGUCUUUUCUGACGCUGAGGAACGAAAGCUAGGGGAGCAAAC